rnacentral:tRNA from 2 species
GCUCCCAUAGCUCAGCAGGUAGAGCGCUUCCAUGGUAAGGAAGAGGUCACCAGUUCGAGUCUGGUUGGGAGCU